rnacentral:misc_RNA from 1 species
UCCCCGUUCACCGGGGCAGUCCCCUCAGAGUGCCCGGCAUAACCCGGUAGCAACAGAGGGCGAGGGUUGCGCUCGUUGCGGGACUUAACCCAACAUCUCACGACACGAGCUGACGACAGCCAUGCACCACCUGUAUAACUGUCCCGAAGGAGCGCCGUGUUUCCACGGCUUCACCCCGCAUGUCAAGCCCUGGUAAGGUUCUUCGCGUUGCAUCGAAUUAAGCCACAUGCUCCGCCGCUUGUGCGGGUCCCCGUCAAUUCCUUUGAGUUUUAGCCUUGCGGCCGUACUCCCCAGGCGGAGUGCUUAAUGCGUUAGCUGCGGCACAGAGAGGGUUGAAGACCUCCCCACACCUAGCACUCAACGUUUACGGCUGGGACUAC